rnacentral:lncRNA from 1 species
GGAAGACACGCUUUACAGCACAGAUUUGCAGCUUUUAACCUGGAAGCUUCACAGCAAAGGCAAUUCGGCUUUACUUUGUUUCCCUUCGAAUCCCAAAGAAAGCAUUAUCUACUUUGUUACUAAACAGAGCAGGCAAUAUUUUAUAUUGCCAUAGUCAAUUAUGUGAGGCUGUGUAACCUUUUCCAGCUAUUACAGUCUUCAAAUCUUUCUGUGCUAAUGUUGCCAACAAUACAGAAGCAGCUUCAAAGCAUCUUUGCAGUGUUCGAAAGAGAAGACAGCUGGUACUGCUUAGAAACUAAGCUGCGAUGACCAGAUUUCUAAUUUAUAAAACUGGGGCAGCACACGUCAGGGGAACGUCGGCGGUGGUUUUGUGAAGGUAGCUCGUCUUCCCUGGAAGCACAGAACAAUGAGAGUCACAGCUUGCAUGUGACCGUUCCUAUCCACAGUCCCAGAAAAAUCUCAGACAUCAAUGACUGCCAGGAUGUCCGGCAAAACAGCCUCUUUUGUGGACAGGUUGAUGAAAAACAUCUAUUUUAAAGCAUCUCAGUCUCUUUGCUUGGAAUCCAUGCCUAUUCACAAACCUUAUGAUUAAAUUUUUGUUUCCACCGUUAGUCAAUUAACAUUAUGAUUUUACAAAAAUUGGGUUUAUUCACCCAGUUCAAGAGCUUGACAAGUGGGAGGGACACCUUUAUUCGCAGGAAUAAGGUGAUUCAAGAACUCCUGUCCUCAGACAAGAGCAGCUCCGGCCGGGUUUAUUUCACAGGAUCCGGAGUCCAGGCCGCCAGGCACUCUCUUUGUUUUUGUGACCGUUUUUUUGAAGCUCA